AACCAUGUGAAGAUGAAGCUAAACUAACAUUUUUAAAUCCCUGUAUGACUGUUCACUAAACUUUAUUUUCUUCACGCACACGUUGUGCAAUGCAUACUUUUUUGGUCGUGUAAAAAAUCAGGAACAUACUGUGAGGGGUGUGGUUUGGAAGGAUCUGGAUAGGACACACCCCCUAUAGGCAGAUAUUUUCUGUGCCUUUACAUUAGUUUUUCCCCCCACAGUGUUUCUCAUACAUUCAUAUUAUCUCUCUGUGCUGAAAUGAGCGAGGUCAUGUGACAUGGUGAAGGCAGCCUGUGCCCUGCCCUGCCCACCCUGCCCACACGUCCCAGCUGUAAAGCAGCACUGUGUGGGCCUGCCAGGCUGCCCGUGCAGUGCUACAGACCUGUUCAGUGGACCCACUGAUCUCAGGCACCAUCAGCACUCAGAACGCAGCUGCGGGCCCUGGUCUAAUUUCAUCUCUCUGAAAGUGAACCGGCAGCUCCAGCGUCGUGUGCAAUUAAUAAUUCAUGUAAGAAAAUAUUUGAUUAGGCGAGUGGGAAGCUGGCUGGUGUUAAACAUGCUUUGUCGCUUUCCGAGGAGAAAACACUUCCACGCAGCCAAGCUUGGAGUGUGUAGUGAAAUUUGAGGAGAGUGAAAUUCAACAUGGACGCCAGUGCCAGGCAUCCGGCGGAGCGACACACUAUCGGACGCAGCAUUGGUCUUCAGUGGGGGCAUGGAGAACCAUUGCAUCGUUGCCCAAAAGUGGGCGGGGCAAACCCUUGCAUCGUUGCCCAGAAGUGGGCAGGGCGAAUCCUUGCAUCGUUGCCCAAAAGUGGCUCCACUUGUUUUUUUGGGGUGGUGAGGUCACACCAGUCCCCCAGUACAGAGGCUGGUGUGUGGUUGCAUAGCUGCCUGCUGGCAUGGUGUGGGGUAACAGCAGACUGACAGGUGACCUCACACCUGCAGGAGAAUGCACAUGGUCAUGCUUUCCCUCUCAAACUGACUGAACUUAGUGCGCAUUGCAGCCAAAAAAAAUCCAUUAGAUUCACGGUGAAAUAUUAAAAAUAAAAGUUUUUUUUUGUUAUUGUACCUUUAAGAGGCUUCGUGUAGACAAAUGUUAGGAAGUAAUAUUAUGAGGUUGUGGUAAUUGUGCUUGUAAGGUGCUUUGUGGAUAAACUGAAAUGUUAGAAGGUAAUGUUAUGAGGUUAUAGGUAUGAUGUUAUAAUGUUAUUUUAUGAGGUUAUAGGUGCUUUGUGGACACAGUGAAGUGUUAGAAGGUGAUGUUUUGAGGUUGUGGUUAUUGUAAAGUGCUUAGUGGACACACAGUAAAGUGUUAGAAGGUAAUGUUUUGAGGUUGUGGUAAUUGUGCUUGUAAGGUGCUUUGUGGAUAAACUGAAAUGUUAGAAGGUAAUGUUUGAGGUUGUGG